rnacentral:rRNA from 1 species
GUUAGCGGCGCGCUUGAUGCAUGCAAGUCGAACGGUUUGGUAAUCCGCAAGGAUAAUCAGAUAGUGGCGAACGGCUGAGUAACGCGUAAGUGACCUACCUCUAAGUGGGGAAUAACUUGCCGAAAGGCAAGCUAAUACCGCAUGUGUUGGCAGGCGGAUGCUUGUCAGUAAAGCCUUAGGGUGCUUGGAGAAGGGCUUGCGUCUGAUUAGCUAGUUGGUUGGGGUAAUGGCCUACCAAGGCGAUGAUCAGUAGCUGGUCUGAGAGGACGAUCAGCCAGACAGGGACUGAGACACGGCCCUGACUCCUACGGGAGGCAGCAGCAAGGAAUUUUGCGCAAUGGGCGAAAGCCUGACGCAGCGACGCCGCGUGGGGGAUGAAGGCUUUCGAGUCGUAAACCCCUUUUCCCGGGGAAGAAUAAUGACGGUACUCGGGGAAUAAGUCUUGGCUAACUACGUGCCAGCAGCCGCGGUAAUACGUAGAAGGCGAACGUUAUUCGGAUUUACUGGGCGUAAAGCGGGUGUAGACGGCCCCUUAAGUCGGGUGUGAAAUCUCCUGACUCAAUCAGGAGAGGUCAUUCGAUACUAAGUGGCUUGAGGAUGGCA